rnacentral:ncRNA from 1 species
AAAAAAUCUAUGUAAAAAAUAGUGUAUAUAAAUAAAAUUUAUUAUGGUUUAAAAAAUUUAUUUUUAAUUUAUUUUACAUAUAAAUUUUAGUGUUAAUUUUUAAUUAUUUUAAUAAUAAUUAAUUUAUUUUGGUAGUAAUUAAUAUUAAAAAUUUAAGAAAUUAAGAUUUAGUAAUAUUAAAAUUAAUAACAAAUUUUGUGCCAGCAGUUGCGGUUACACAAAAAUUGAAUUAAAUUUUAUUAGUUAUUAAUAAAUAAAAAAAAAAUUAAUUAAAAUAAUAAAUUAUUAGGUGAAAUUUUAAUUUAUUUAAAAAUUUAUUUAAUAAUUAUGAUUUAAUAAAAUAUAAAAAUAAACUAGGAUUAGAUACCCUAUUAUUAAUAUUUUAAAAUAAAAUACUAAAAUAGUAAUUAAUUAUUUAUUGAAACUUAAAUAACUUGGCGGUAUUUUAGUUCAUUUAGAGGAAUCUGUUUAAUAAUUGAUAAUCCACGAAUAAAUUUACUUAAUUUAUUAUUUUGUAUAUCGUUGUUAAAAAAAUAUUUUUUAGUAAAAAUAAUAUUUUAAAAUUUUAAAUAAAAAUUAAAUCAGAUCAAGAUGCAGAUUAUAAUUAAGAAUAUAAUGGAUUACAAUAAAUAUAUUUAAAUGGRGAUUAAUUUGUAAGGAUUAAUUGAAAGUGGAUUUAAAUGUAAUUUUAUUUAUUUUAAUAAAAUGAUUAUAAAUUAAAAUAUGUACAUAUUGCCCGUCGCUUUCAUAAAUAAAUUGAAAUAAGUCGUAACAAAGUAGAGGUACUGGAAAGUGUUUCUAGAAAGAU